AAACUUGUACUGGACGUACUGAUGACUUUUGUACGAUUUAUUUUUAUGUAUUGUGAUCACGUUUCGUGUUUUGGCACAGUAUAGUUGACUAAAACUAUUAUAUAAAUAUAUAAUAUAUGUGUAUAGCUCUCGAAAGGACUAUGAGACCACUUCAAUUUUUUCUUUGAAAUUGAAAACCUCUGAAUUAUAAUCAAGAGGAAGAUGGAUGAUCACAAGCCAUCAAACCAAACUGAACUGCUUGAAUUUUUGCACCAGGAGUAAAGCAGCAUAAAGUUAUCAGAAAGCAGUGUGUAAGACUGGUGGAGGAGAACAUGAUGCCAAGAUGCAUGAAAAAAACUGUGAUUAAAAACCAGGGUUAUUCCACCAAAUAUUGAUUUCUGAACUCUUAAAACUUUAUGAGUAUAAACUUGUUUUGUUUGCUUUAUUUGAGGUCUGAAAACUCUGCAUCUUUUUUUUGUUAUUUCAGCCAUUUCUCAUUUUCUGCAAAUAAAUGCUCUAAAUGACAAUAUCUUUAUUUGGAAUUUGGGAGAAAUGUUGUCUGUAGUUUAUAGAAUUCAAUUUAUUCUGAUUCAGAAACUGACUGGUCUCUACAGGGAUGCUAACUGUGGUGUAUUAAACAGUUCCUUCUUCCUCAGCCCCUCGUUCGUGUGGCAGGUGGGCCGGCGGGCCGUACUACAGGAAGCUUGUUGAGUCUAUUGUUGGUGCUCUGCGUUUCCCCAGCACUUUAGCUAUUUCCUGUAUUACAGAGCCUGAUGGUCAUUACCCUCCACUGAACACCCUAAAUACUUGUUGCUCUCCGGAAACGAUAGUCCAACGCUGACUGAGAGGAAUAACCCAGGCCUGUGUGUGUGUGUGUGUGUGUGUGUGUGUGUGUGUGUGUGUGUGUGUGUGUGUGUCGUACAGCAGUAGGAAAGGAAAUCAUCAUUACUGAAUAGAAAGCUUUAUUAAUAAUUACGAUAUUCUGUGUGUUUGUUGGCCUAUUGGUUUCCUUCUACUGGAUAAGCUGGCUCUGCAGGAGAGGAGAUAUGUGUACUGCCCUUUGUUCCAUUUGCAUUUGGGGUGUCCAAUAUGGAAUAGAUAUAAUGUAGAAUAGAGUAAAACUACUGUCAAAGCAGUGCUGUGUAUUUGUGGUUUAGGGUUGUGAAGGUGUUGUAGUAGUGUUGUGAAGGUGUUGUAGUAGUGCUGUGAAGGUGUUGUAGUAGUGUUGUGGAGGUGUUGUAGCAGUGUUGUGAAGGUGUUGUAGCAGUGUUGUGAAGGUGUUGUAGCAGUGUUGUGAAGGUGUUGUAGUAGUGCUGUGAAGGUGUUGUAGUAGUGUUGUGGAGGUGUUGUAGCAGUGUUGUGAAGGUGUUGUAGCAGUGUUGUGAAGGUGUUGUAGCAGUGUUGUGGAGGUGUUGUAGCAGUGUUGUGGAGGUGUUGUAGCAGUGUUGUGAAGGUGUUGUAGUAGUGUUGUGGAGGUGUUGUAGCAGUGUUGUGAAGGUGUUGUAGCAGUGUUGUGAAGGUGUUGUAGUAGUGUUGUGAAGGUGUUGUAGCAGUGUUGUGAAGGUGUUGUAGUAGUGUUGUGGAGGUGUUGUAGCAGUGUUGUGAAGGUGUUGUAGCAGUGUUGUGGAGGUGUUGUAGCAGUGUUGUGAAGGUGUUGUAGUAGUGUUGUGGAGGUGUUGUAGCAGUGUUGUGAAGGUGUUGUAGUAGUGUUGUGGAGGUGUUGUAGUAGUGUUGUGGAGGUGUUGUAGUAGUGCUGUGAAGGUGUUGUAGUAGUGCUGUGAAGGUGUUGUAGUAGUGUUGUGAAGGUGUUGUAGUAGUGUUGUGGAGGUGUUGUAGCAGUGUUGUGGAGGUGUUGUAGUAGUGCUGUGAAGGUGUUGUAGCAGUGUUGUGAAGGUGUUGUAGUAGUGUUGUGGAGGUGUUGUAGUAGUGUUGUGGAGGUGUUGUAGCAGUGUUGUGAAGGUGUUGUAGCAGUGUUGUGGAGGUGUUGUAGCAGUGUUGUGAAGGUGUUGUAGUAGUGUUGUGGAGGUGUUGUAGCAGUGUUGUGAAGGUGUUGUAGCAGUGUUGUGAAGGUGUUGUAGUAGUGUUGUGGAGGUGUUGUAGCAGUGUUGUGAAGGUGUUGUAGUAGUGUUGUGGAGGUGUUGUAGUAGUGCUGUGAAGGUGUUGUAGCAGUGUUGUGAAGGUGUUGUAGUAGUGUUGUGGAGGUGUUGUAGUAGUGCUGUGAAGGUGUUGUAGUAGUGCUGUGAAGGUGUUGUAGCAGUGUUGUGAAGGUGUUGUAGUAGUGUUGUGGAGGUGUUGUAGUAGUGCUGUGAAGGUGUUGUAGUAGUGCUGUGAAGGUGUUGUAGCAGUGUUGUGAAGGUGUUGUAGUAGUGCUGUGAAGGUGUUGUAGUAGUGCUGUGAAGGUGUUGUAGUAGUGCUGUGAAGGUGUUGUGGAAGAACAGUGGUGUGUAUGUGUGAAUGAGGGUUGUAAAGGCGUAGUGGCUGUUUUUUUGCAGUGUUGUGGUGUGUAUGUAUGGAUCAGGGUUUUGGAGAUGUUGUCACGGUAUUGCGGAGAUGUUGUAGCUGUGUUGUGAAGGUGUUGUGAAGGUGUUGUGGAGGCGUUGUGGAGGAACAGUGGUGUAAAGUGGUUUUGUAGCAGUAUUAUGGAGUUUUAUGUCAUGUGCAUGUGUGGAUUAGUGUUGUUGUGGUGUUGCCACGGUAUUGUAGAGGUGUUUUAGUGGUGUUGUGGAGGAACAGUGGUGUGUAUGUGUGGAUCAGGGUUGUGGAGGUGUUGUGGCAAUGUUUUUGUG